rnacentral:rRNA from 1 species
AGCGAACGCUGGCGGCAGGCUAACACAUGCAAGUCGAACGAAGUCUUCGGACUUAGUGGCGGACGGGUGAGUAACACGUGGGAACGUGCCUUUAGGUUCGGAAUAACUCAGGGAAACUUGUGCUAAUACCGAAUGUGCCCUUCGGGGGAAAGAUUUAUCGCCUUUAGAGCGGCCCGCGUCUGAUUAGCUAGUUGGUGAGGUAAAGGCUCACCAAGGCGACGAUCAGUAGCUGAUCUGAGAGGAUGAUCAGCCACAUUGGGACUGAGACACGGACCAAACUCCUACGGGAGGCAGCAGUGGGGAAUCUUGCGCAAUGGGCGAAAGCCUGACGCAGCCAUGCCGCGUGAAUGAUGAAGGUCUUAGGAUUGUAAAAUUCUUUCACCGGGGACGAUAAUGACGGUACCCGGAGAAGAAGCCCCGGCUAACUUCGUGCCAGCAGCCGCGGUAACAC